rnacentral:rRNA from 1 species
CCUACGGGGGGCAGCAGUGAGGAAUAUUGGUCAAUGGGCGGGAGCCUGAACCAGCCAAGUCGCGUGAAGGAAGAAGGUACUUAGUAUUGUAAACUUCUUUUGUCGGGGAACAAAGGCGGAGACGCGUCUCCGGAUGAGUGUACCCGAAGAAAAAGCAUCGGCUAACUCCGUGCCAGCAGCCGCGGUAAUACGUAGGUGGCAAGCGUUGUCCGGAUUUACUGGGUGUAAAGGGCGUGUAGCCGGGUUGACAAGUCAGAUGUGAAAUCCUGCGGCUUAACCGCAGAACUGCAUUUGAAACUGUUGAUCUUGAGUACUGGAGAGGCAGACGGAAUUCCUAGUGUAGCGGUGAAAUGCGUAGAUAUUAGGAGGAACACCAGUGGCGAAGGCGGUCUGCUGGACAGCAACUGACGGUGAGGCGCGAAAGCGUGGGGAGCAAACAGGAUUAGAUACCCGAGUAGUC